AUUGAACGCUGGCGGCAGGCCUAACACAUGCAAGUCGAACGCGUGGCGGACGGGUGAGUAAUGUCUGGGAAACUGCCCGAUGGAGGGGGAUAACUACUGGAAACGUUAGCUACUACCGCAUACCAUCGGAUGUGCCCAGAUGGGAUUAGCUAGUAGGUGGGGUAACGGCUCACCUAGGCGACGAUCCCUAGCUGGUCUUAGAGGAUGACCAGCAACACUGGAACUGAGACACGGGCCAGACUCCUACGGGAGGCAGCAGUGGGGAAUAUUGCACAAUGGGCGCAAGCCUGAUGCAGCCAUGCCGCGUGUAUGAAGAAGGCCUUCGGGGUGUAAAGUACUUUCAGCGAGGAGGCGUGACUCGCAGAAGAAGCACCGGCUAACUCCGUGCCAGCAGCCGCGGUAAUUC
rnacentral:rRNA from 1 species